rnacentral:rRNA from 1 species
AGAUUGAACGCUGGCGGCAGGCCUAACACAUGCAAGUCGAGCGGUAGAGAGAAGCUUGCUUCUCUUGAGAGCGGCGGACGGGUGAGUAAUGCCUAGGAAUCUGCCUGGUAGUGGGGGAUAACGCUCGGAAACGGACGCUAAUACCGCAUACGUCCUACGGGAGAAAGCAGGGGACCUUCGGGCCUUGCGCUAUCAGAUGAGCCUAGGUCGGAUUAGCUAGUUGGUGAGGUAAUGGCUCACCAAGGCGACGAUCCGUAACUGGUCUGAGAGGAUGAUCAGUCACACUGGAACUGAGACACGGUCCAGACUCCUACGGGAGGCAGCAGUGGGGAAUAUUGGACAAUGGGCGAAAGCCUGAUCCAGCCAUGCCGCG